AAAACAUGUUUAAUGAUCUCACCAUCUCACAUUGUGUAUUAACAUAAUGGUCAAAAUAUAGAACCUCCGGGAAAAUUAUAAUUCGUAUUAUACAGUGAUCCCUUCAUUUCUUGAAUCGCAUCACGGUGGCUUUUAUGACGUUUGUUUUUCUAAAGAGCGAAAGGAAUCCCAGGUCAACCGAAGUUUAGAUUAACAUAACAAUGUGUGAACUAGAAAGGCUUACGUAACAAUGGUGAAGGAAGACGGGUUACGUAUGUUGAAUGUGGAGGCUGUCAAGGCUUAUAAAUGGGGAUUCUACGAAUGUCGAAAAUUAGGUUCCCACGUAUGUCGAAAGAGUUCCACGUGUGUCGAAGAUGUCGUUCAGGCACUGAGGUACACAAGAGACAGAAUGCCACUUAUAGCGAAGAUGGAAGUUCAAGAUGGGGUUCUACCUGUCGGAAACGUGGUUUUACCAUAGUCGCAGUUGUUCCACCAAACAUGUCUUUUCUUCGAAGAUCAGGCACCUCUAGGCACCUCUGAGAUACCUAACUUUAUAUAUGUCCUGGGGCACCUCGACCAAGUGGACCUAUUGAAGUUAGAUAUAGGGACAUACAUCUUUAGCUUUUCUAAUGUAAAGUGGGUUGGCAGGUUCAAAAGUAUGCCGAUGCCAUGAUUAGUAGCAUCAUUAUGGGAUGCUCUUCCUUAGGGAGCUGAGUAUGUGUUCUAGAAUUUGAUCGAAAUCAAAGAGCUGCUCUUAUCCAUAGGUAGGUAUAACAUUAUGUGAAGCACUCGAGGCCUUGAAAAUAAUUACACUAUAAAACUAACAACAUUAUUAUAUAUACUGAAGUAGGCUUACGAAGCCGAAGAUGGGUUUCCAGUAUGCAGUAAGAUAGGGUUUCAAGUAUGUCGAAUGAAAUAAUGACAUAAGAGAUUUUACUUGGAAUUUGCUAUAAUAUUUCACAUUUGCUGUUUAUUAACUAUGAUCAUUAAGUAGGCCUAUAUAAAAACCAUUAUUGAUAACUACCCGGUAGAUAAAAUAGGGUAGCUAAUAAGCCUAUUCAUAAAUGAUACAGAUAGGCCUAUAGUGCCUACGAUUAAAAUUCUAUUAGAUCACUAUCAAGUUUGUCAAAAAAUCCAGAGCCUUAUUGACAAAAUAGGUAAGAUAAUUUUAAAAUAAAUCAUUAUUAAUGCAUGUUAUGAUAUUGAUCUUGUCAUGACCCAAUAAAAGGAUAGCAGAUCUCUUAACCCCUGAGUCUUUUAAGAGUGAUGACGUGAUAGAUCGAGAAAAAUGGAGUAAAAAGACGGGCUUGAGGCAGGGGAAUUGAUACUCCAACAAAAUGAGCACAUCACUAAUCAAAUGAUUGAUAUAUAACAUAAAAUCAAGCGUUAACAAAAUACUACAGGAGUAGUCGAAAUAUUCUAUACUCUAUGUAGAGACAAACUCUAGGCCGUCUGGUGGUAAAGCUUUAAUAAAUAUAUAAAUUCACGUUAAAGAGGAAUCUGCGAGUGUGAAAAAGUAGCUAUCUGUGCAGAUGCCUUAACCAUGGGCCAUUGAGGAUUCGUUGGGAAUUCAAAUCCAAAUAAAGCAACUCAGACUGCACACCCUUUUGCACAUGCGUUGUUGAACAGCACUAGUUCUUCGUUGGAUAUAUACAAUUGUUUACUCACUGGUUAAACGAUUUGCCUUAUAAUUACAUAGAAUGUGAACAAAUGCUUUUAUUUUUUUUAAAUGUUUUAUUUAUUUAUUUGCAAUCAUUAUCAGUAAUACUAUCAUCACCAUAUAUUAUUCAUUAUUGCCAAUAAUACUUGAAAAGUAUUAUAAUAAACAUGGUCCAUCAUAUUAAUGGCAAAAGCUAAUCGGAACUAAACUGUGGUGAGAUUGACAUGAAUGUUAAAUUCCUCAGACAUUAUCAAAGGCUUUGGGCUUCCGAUAUCACUUUCUAUCUAAAGGAAGUCUAUUUAUUAUGAAUGAGAGGUGUACGCAAGGUAGUACAGUAUACGUUAUGCUUUGCCAACCGGUAAUUUCACAAAUCAAAAACUGUGUAUUAUAACAGAUCGAUGGUCCAUUCUGCUCUAAGGUGAUUAGAACUUGUUCAAAUAAUAGAUUGCCGAAGACGAAACCGGAGAAUAUUAUACUAAUAAUAAUCUUCCAUAUUUAAUCUAUUCUAAUUCUUUGUGAUUUUUGUUUAGAUAUCGCAUGUAAUUAGUUAUCGUUUUCUUCACACACUUUCGAAGAUUUAUGAUUGUAGCACGAUAGGUAGAAGGGGAAUUAAUUGGUUUUGAAAUUGUUGCCGAUGCCUCGUUGUUUGAGUACACUGAUGCGAUCUUAAUAAUAUGUUUCAACACCGCUGUACAAAUGAAGGCCCAAGAUAUCACAUUCAUGUAAUUAAAAACUUGUUUGAUAAUUUGAUUAACACGAAUUCAACUAAUUCGGUUAUUGACUCGUUAUCUUUAAUAGAUUUUGGACGUUCAUUGUAUUGAUUGUAAUGUAUACAGUAGAUAGGCUGUUGUGGUGAAUGUUGACUUAUUAUAAGAAGUAGGCCUAUUUAAUAAAAACUAAAAUGAAAUGUG
rnacentral:lncRNA from 1 species